UACGGAGGAUGCGAGCGUUAUCCGGAUUUAUUGGGUUUAAAGGGUGCGUAGGUGGCUGCUUAAGUCAGCGGUGAAAGUUUGUCGCUCAACGAUAAAAUUGCCGUUGAAACUGGGUAGCUUGAGUAUGUUUGAGGUAUGCGGAAUGCGUGGUGUAGCGGUGAAAUGCUUAGAUAUCACGCAGAACCCCGAUUGCGAAGGCAGCAUACCAAACCAUUACUGACACUGAAGCACGAAAGCGUGGGGAUCAAACAGG
rnacentral:rRNA from 1 species